GGGCGAUUAGCUCAGUUGGUAGAGCGCACGCUUUGCAUGGCUUGCCAAGUCGCUUGCGUGAAGUCAGGAUUUCGAGCAUCCUAUCGUCCA